AUUAGGGAUUCUCACUAAGAAACCUCUAACAGAGACAGACCUUUUCCAGAUUGCUAGUGCCUGCCCAGCAGUCCGUGCAGAAUACAGGCCUACAGUAGACAGUACAACAAUCUGUGAACAACUACUGAUUCGACAUACCGGGCACCCAGUGAAUGGGUUCAGGGCAGUUGCAGGUACAGAGAAACCACGACUAGUACUGUUUUGAAAUAAAGACCGUGGCCUGUGUAAGCCAAGAUACUCUGCACUGCCUGAAGAUCUCUGCAGUGCUCUUAAACUCCUCCACUGAGACAGAUUGGCUGAAGAGCUGCUACUCUUUGUGCUUUAAAAGACUUGUGCUACCAACUGUCGACAUAAAGGUACUAUAGCUAAAGCACACAAGGAAUAUAUACCAUCAAAAGUAAUUGAAACGGAUAAACGUUGGCAAAAAGGUUUCAGUAAUUUCUCCCCCUGUUUCUGUAGAAUAGUUUGGUAGAAUAUUACUUCAUCUGAAUAAAUGAAUGUAACUUGAGCUGUACUGCUGUUCUAUUUUACCAUAAACUAUGAUACUUCUAUUAAGGUACUCGUCAUACAAAAAAUAAUCUCUUCCCAAAAAGCUUUAAUAUAGCUUAGAUCAUGCAAAAUGCCUGAGCUUGUUAGCCAUAAAUGAAAGCAAUUUCACUUCAAUUAUUUUAGUCUCAUCUACAGACAGUGUUUAUGCCAGUGAUAUUUUUUCUGCCUCUUUC